rnacentral:rRNA from 1 species
ACGGGUGAGUACACGUAAGCAACCUACCCUAAAGACGAGGAUAACCAUUGGAAACAGUGGCUAAGACUGGAUAGGAAGAUAAAAGGCAUCUUGUAUCUUUUAAAAGACCUAGUUAAUAGGUAUGCUUUAGGAGGGGCUUGCGCCAUAUUAGUUAGUUGGUAGGGUAAUGGCCUACCAAGACGAUGAUGUGUAGCUGGACUGAGAGGUUGAACAGCCACAUUGGGACUGAGACACGGCCCAAACUCCUACGGGAGGCAGCAGUAGGGAAUUUUCGGCAAUGGAGGAAACUCUGACCGAGCAACGCCGCGUGAAUGACGAAGUACUUCGGUAUGUAAAGUUCUUUUAUCGAGGAAGAAAAGCAAAUGGCGAACCAUUUGUUUGCCGGUACUUGAUGAAUAAGCCCCGGCUAAUUAUGUGCCAGCAGCCGCGGUAAGACAUAAGGGGCAAGUGUUAUCCGGAAUUAUUGGGCGUAAAGGGUGCGUAGGCGGAUCUAGUAAGUCAGUGGUGUAAUGUCAACGCUUAACGUUGUCCGGCUAUUGAAACUGCUAAACUUGAGUUAGAUAGAGGCGAGUGGAAUUCCAUGUGUAGCGGUAAAAUGCGUAAAUAUAUGGAGGAACACCAGAGGCGUAGGCGGCUCGCUGGGUCUUAACUGACGCUGAGGCACGAAAGCGUGGGGAGCAAACAGGAUUAGAUACCCUGGUAGUCCACGCCGUAAACGAUGAGUACUAAGUGUCGGGUUAAACCGGUACUGAAGUUAACACAUUAAGUACUCCGCCUGAGUAGUACGUACGCAAGUAUGAAACUUAAAGGAAUUGACGGGACUCCGCACAAGCGGUGGAUCAUGUUGUUUAAUUCGAAGAUACCCGAAAAACCUUACCAGGUCUUGACAUGUUUUUGCAAAAUGAUAGUAAUAUCGUGGAGGUUACCAGAAACACAGGUGGUGCAUGGUUGUCGUCAGCUCGUGUCGUGAGAUGUUAGGUUAAGUCCUAAAACGAGCGAAACCCUUAUCGUUAGUUGCCAGCACGUUAUGGUGGGGACUUUAACGAGACUGCCAAUGAUAAAUUGGAGGAAGGUGAGGAUCACGUCAAAUCAGCAUGCCCCUUAUGACCUGGGCUACAAACGUGAUACAAUGGCUGUUACAAAGGGUAGCUGAAACGCAAGUUCUUGGCCAAUCCCCAAAAACAGUCCCAGUCCGGAUUGAAGUCUGCAACUCGACUUCAUGAAGUUGGAAUCGCUAGUAAUCGCGAAUCAGCAUGUCGCGGUGAAUACGUUCUCGGGGUUUGUACACACCGCCCGUCAAACCACGAAAGUUGGCAAUACCCCAAAACGGUAGCCUAACUCGUAUCGA